rnacentral:lncRNA from 1 species
CCUGAACUUGCUUCCCGACUCUCAGCACCCAUCGUUUACAGAUUUACACACACCUGUAAUUAUUUUGCCUUGAUAAAUCAGACACGUUCUAAAACACUGUGCACGUAAAGUCUCAUUUACAUAAAGAACCGCACUAAAUUACCAUUUCUGGUCACAAACCUUCCCUUUAAAGCUGCAAGAAAUGUCACUAAUUUCUGUCCACCAACAUGGAGAAAUCAAAGAAGACAAAGAAAAAAAACUUUUUUAGGACACAGAAAUAUAACUUUUGAUCACUGAAGUGGAAGCAAAACAAGCCAUACUUUUUGGUGCCCUCAGCAAUGGCUUGACAAAUAAGAGACAAAAUAUUGCUUGGGAGCAGGCUUGAGCUGUGGUAAAUUCUGCCUCAUCUGAGUGCAGAACAGUUAAUGAAAUUUAAAAAGUCAAGCUUUAUUUUUGCAACCAUAUUCAGACAUGGACCACAUAUGUGGGUGAUUUGCCUGAUCCCUCAGUCCCAGGCCUACCAGAAGGGUAUCCUUUUUGUGGAGCAAUUCAGCUGUGCCACAUGUUUUGACUGACGCAGUCCUGAAACAAGAGAUCAACGCAUCAAUUCUUGGACUCAAACAGCAGCUGGAGGAUGUAUGCAACGGCCUGAGAGAGAUUAAUCAAUCAUUGAAAGAACUUGUUGAUUGUGUCAAACAUGUGAGACAAUAAAUUCUGGUGCAAUGUAAAUGUGUUUUCCUUGUCAAUUUGAUUACAAUAUUUGGAAGAACAGAUAUCUAAAACUGUUGUAUGAUAUUGACUCUUGUCCUCAGUGCCAGAGCUAUGGGUGGUGGAAAAAACUCCCUGUCAGGCAUGGGCUCAUCGGGUCUGGGUGGAUGAUUCAGUGGAAUGCCAUUUUUGAUUGCAAUGUUGUGGAAUACACUCCAAGCCUUGACAAUGUAGCAAGCCUAAAAAGGAAUUUGCACAUUGUAUUACAUUCACGUAAUGGCAUUUGAAGGAAUGUCAUUUCAGAGGCAAACCUUGCUAGGCUAGUAUUGCAGUGUGCCUCCUGUCCCAGACAAGCACAACGCCCUUUCAGCAGGCCUAUGGUGCGCUGCACUGUUGUUCUUGUGCUUGCGUGGGCUUCGUUGUACCUUGACUCUUGUUGGUUUGAGGAGUUUGUGAGGGGAGUCAUCAGCCAUGUUUUUAACGGGUAACUCCGGUCUCCUGCAGUUAUGAAACACACCAUUCAGAUAUUGUUU